UACGUAGGGUGCAAGCGUUAAUCGGAAUUACUGGGCGUAAAGCGUGCGCAGGCGGUUUUGUAAGUUUGUCGUGAAAUCCCCGGGCUCAACCUGGGAAUUGCAUUUGUGACUGCACGGCUAGAGUGUGUCAGAGGGGGGUAGAAUUCCACGUGUAGCAGUGAAAUGCGUAGAGAUGUGGAGGAAUACCGAUGGCGAAGGCAGCCCCCUGGGAUAACACUGAACG
rnacentral:rRNA from 1 species